rnacentral:rRNA from 1 species
UACGUAGGGGGCAAGCGUUAUCCGGAUUUACUGGGUGUAAGGGGAGCGUAGACGGUUAUGCAAGUCAGAAGUGAAAGCCCAAAGCUCAACUUCGGGACUGCUUUUGAAACUGUGUAACUAGAGUGCAGGAGGGGUAAGCGGAAUUCCUAGUGUAGCGGUGAAAUGCGUAGAUAUUAGGAGGAACACCAGUGGCGAAGGCGGCUUACUGGACUGUAACUGACGUUGAGGCUCGAAAGCGUGGGGAGCAAACAGG